AGGCGGCCCUGGCCGCUCAGGGUGCUGUAGAUGUUGGUGAAGGACAUGCCUGUGGGCACUCGCUGCUUGCCUGCGGGACGCAGGUCCGGCUGGCAGCUGCUUAGCGAGAUGGUGGGCGUCGAGUGGUGCUCUUUGAAGGUUCUGAAACUCCUUCUCCUCCUCUUUGAGGACCUCCAGCUGCUUCAGUACUGAGUCUUGUUGGAAUUCACCCCGGUCCAUCUACAACCCAGAAACGGCCGCUCAGUGGAUUGGAGAUGAGGAGACUGAGGCACAGAGAAGUCCAUGCUCUCCACGCCCUUGCCUGCUGCUGCUACUCCAAGGUUCUUUGAAAGCUGGGACUACAUCUUCGAGUCUCCCAGAACACCAAGUGCAAUGUAAUAGACGGACAACUCAUUGUUGGCUGAGAGUAGGUGUCUGACC